rnacentral:misc_RNA from 1 species
AAAAACCCUGAGAAACAAAUCUCCAACAUUCUAUUUCCAGGUUUAUUCAUUAUUCAUCGACCUAGAGUAUUAUUUCACAAGAAGAGUUACAAAUACAAAAGUAUAACUUACCGCAAAACUCACUGAACAAGAAGAACUUCAGCAACAUAAUUAGAACGAGACAUAAGAAUAACAAAUGGGCAAUUAAAGAUUCCAUAAAUUUCUUUUUUUGAACCGAUAAAAUCCGUGAUCAUAUCGGAUGUAUCAGAAUCAAUUUACAUUAUAGAAGGAAAAAAUAACUUAAAUUAGCUAUUAUAUACAACUGAAAAUUUCAACAAUGCAGGUCAAAAGCAUAUGGUUCAAUCAUCCCGCAGGCAAAAUGAAACUAAGGAACACUACCUCAAAUCCUUGUAGAAGAUGAAUCAAAAUCAUCAGGAGCAACCCGAGCAAUCCAGUUGCUGAGAGUUCGCUUAAUAUCAGAGUGUUUAACAUAAGCCAACUCAUACAUACUACACAAAUUCACUACAAGCGUCUCAUUCAAAGCCACAGUGGGUACUCACUCAAGCGAAUUCUCGAACACCUUAAUUGAAUCAGACAAAGCCCUCAAGUACAUCAAGCAGAGAGCUUUGUUAUUAAUGGCAACAACAUCCAUAGGAUCUCUCUCAAUGCACUCCUCGUAUUCCCUCACUGCAGACACAUAAUCCUUCCCAACCAAACACACUAACGCCUUGUUCCUAUUCACCUAAUUCCUGAACUCAAUCUCAAUCAACAACUCAUCAUCACACCCACCAUUUCGCUCAUUCAACAAUUUCUCAACCUUAUCGAAUGAACGCUUUGCCCCCUCCAAAUCCCCAAUUUGCAUCUGUAUAUACCCUAAUUUUGACAAUAAAACAGGAUCCAAAUUCCCACGAGAAAACAAAUCUUUAAUCAAAUCCAAACAAACACCAAAUUCUUUAUUCCCCAAAUGCUCACUAAUUAUUAAAUUCAUAACAAAAACCUCUCUUUUUCUCCACAUUUUAAUUAAAAUAUCAUGAUCUUGUUUUUCCUUUAGUUUUCCACGAACAAAAUCGAGCAAUAUAUAAAACCGAUCUAAUCCUUCUUGGUGGUUACCUGAUUUUAUCGGAAUCAGUGCAUGAAGCCACCGGAGAGAGAAUGGGACCACAAAACCGGACCGAUUCGGGUAGAUUUUCGAAUACGUUUCGUAACGGUAAUGGUGGCAAUCGAAAUCAUCGACGGAAUCGAGCUCCGUGAUAGCGUCCUUGAAACGGCGUAGUUUGGCAAGACCAAGGACGUUGCAGGCGAGGUAGAUAAGAUGGUCAUAAGGUGUGUUAAGGAGAUAAUGAGAGCGGGCACGACGGACCUUGUCGAGAAUGGAGUGCCAGCUGCCGCGGUUCGCAAGGUCCUGGAGAGAGGCGAGCUCGUGGGCGAGGUCAUUUAGGGGAGCGAAUUGGCUUGUUAGAGGAUCUGCGGACAGCGAGACGGGUUCGGGUUGAAAAUCGGGUGUGUCAGAGUCCAUGGUCGGCAGUGGAAGGUUGAUGCGCGUCGCCUGAGUCACCAGAGAGGCUGCGAGUGCAAUUGUGGACUGUGGAUAGCUUGGGAAAGCAGGCUCCGUAUUUGGUGGCCCUGGU